UACGUAGGCAGCAAGCGUUGUUCGGAAUUACUGGGCGUAAAGAGUGUGUAGGCGGUGCUCUAAGUUUGGUGUGAAAUCUCCCGGCUCAACUGGGAGGGUGCGCCGAAAACUGGAAUGCUUGAACAUGGGAGAGGAAAGCGGAAUUCCUGGUGUAGCGGUGAAAUGCGUAGAUAUCAGGAGGAACACCUGCGGUGUAGACGGCUUUCUGGACCAUUGUUGACGCUGAGGCGCGAAAGCUAGGGGAGCAAACAGG
rnacentral:rRNA from 1 species